UUUUCUUUUUCCUUUUUUAGUUUCAAAAUCAUUCCCUUUUUUUCAAACACCGACCCUUGGGUUUCUUAGCCUCCAGUGCACCGCCGCCGCAGCCAUGAAGACCGGUGGCCGACGACGAAGGAAAAGAGGUGAAAGACCUCGGCCUUAGAAUACCCCGAGGGCUGAACCCUUCAACCUUAAACAAGAAAAGAGGAAGAUUCUCAGCACCCUCUAGAUCCGGCGGUCGCAAAGGAGGAGAACCCUCUGUGAGCCGGAUCCCGGCGCUUCCUCGGUAAGUCCCCUCUCCCCUUUUUAUUUUCACGUUUUCUUUGUAAAAAUUUCGUAAAAAAAUGCGUAGAUAAAUAAAUGAAAUAAAUAAAUGAUAGAUGAUAAGAAACGGAAAUCAGAAAAACUAAAGAAAACAAUCAGAUUUCUAUCAACCUUUUAGAAUCUCAGUUCUGUAUUUCUUGAUUCACUGAUGUGUGUCCGUAAAAAAAAACAACGGUGAGAUUCGGGCUUUUAUAGCCGAAUCAAAAUGAUUUUUUCUUCUUUAUUAUCUGUUAACUAUUAUUAUUGCUCGCGUGCUUCCUUUUUGCCAUUAUAUUUAAUUUUCGCAUGUGUCAGACGCGUGGACGACCGGUGGUAGGCGAGCCUUGGGCGGUGGCGGCGUGUGAGGAGCUGGAGCGGCGUACCUGGCAGAGGUGUGCAUGCGGCUAGGGCUAGGUUUUUUUUUGCUGAAACAAAUUUUAAUUUAUUGGGCUUUGGGCUGUAAUUUUUGGGUUAUUUUCAUUUGUUUUGGGUCUUUAGGCCUAGGUCAAAAUUGACCUGUUACAAUGAUCUGUCCUUUGAUGAGCCAAAUCACAACCCCUAGACCCCACUUGUUAUUUUCAAUUAGUUUCAAUCAUUUUCACUUAACCACCAAACCCAUCAACCAUGCAUUUAAAUCUCCCAUUUUUCCAGAAACUUCUAUCUGUCAGGAUUUAACAAUUUUAAACAUAUGAGUAAGCAGCGGAUCCGGAGCUGAGCUGUCAACAACUGGUUCUAAUGUUGUUGCUAUCUUAGUUGUCUCACUUGAUGUAAUGAGCUCCAACAAUGGUGAAUGAUAUUUCAAUCUCCCCCCUUUUUUUGGGGUUUCAUAGCAAGACAACUUUGUCAUGUUUAUUGGGCAACCCUCUUUCUUUUUGUUGUCACUGUGUUAGAACACUUUCUUGCCAAUGUUUUUUUGUUAAAAGUGUCAGGUUCUGAUGCAAAUGUUUAACCAUUUAUGCUCCAUUCAGGGUUUUAACUAAAUUGCUUUAUGUUGUCAUUCAAUGAUCUCUUUUGUAUUAAAAAAAAUCCUCUUCUUGAUUUUUUGUUUUUCAUGCUAAAACUUUAGCAAUUGUGAUUCAUUCUAUUCUUUCAUGCUUGAUUUAUAC
rnacentral:lncRNA from 1 species